CCGGUCUGUUGUGUGCAACCGGCCUAUCCGUCUCCAUCAGGGUGUCCCAAUAGAGCCUGUAUUCCUCAUUUUCCAUGACCGCUUUUGGCAUAUAUUCGUACGGCUUCCUUGAGGUGCCAAGAUGGAGCAAGACGACGUGACAUGCUGUAUUGUUUCCAGACCCUGAGAGCAUUUUCGGCACCUGUCUGAUGGUAAGUAUCUUUUUGUUAUGUUCUUAAUAUAUGCUCUAGUCGGAACCACCUGGUCUUGGAUUGCCACCAGUCUUCCUUCAGUCUCAGGAUACAAGGCUUCUGGGUACCUGCCAUGUAGCGUCAUUCCAUGCCAACGUUCCGUCAGCGUUCCGAUGGUCGUUGCCUCGGUGAGAGUUCUUCGGUCUGCUAGAUUGAGCGCUGUUAUGUUCUCGUCUUCCUGACAUAUAAUCUUGAACAAUGCCUAUCGCAGAUUGUCACCAGCUCCUCUCUCAGCUGCCAACUACGCCUCCUCACCCGGUACUCCGACGCAACUCUUAGUGUUUUCUUCAGAAGCUUCCUUGAUGGGUUCUCCGUAUGCAGGUAAGUGUGAAGCACCCCAAUCUUCUUUCUGUUCUCAACUAUCUUCUUUUCUAGGCGUAUUUUCCAUGGAGGGGUUUUAUCUUUGCGGUGCGUGGGUUGAUUGUUUUCUAAGUGAAGGCCAACCUCCUCGCAGACAGUCACCGCACCCGCAUAGACCAUGUCCAGUAUCUCUUUAAGAUCAUUUGAGUUCCGCAUACAGGUGUUCAAUACGUCAUCAAUUUUCCGAACAGUCUGUAGCAACCUGACGGAGCCCUUCAUCCUUGGCAAUUUUGGUCUUCUUUCAGGUCCCAUUCCCGAGAACAAUUGCAAAUUUCUGGAGAAACGUCGCUCCAUUCCGGUUUGUCUGAAGCUCACUCUAUUCUCCAUCUGCGUACCAUUUCCAGUUGACUCCACUUCUUCCUGUACUUCCGCUCCAAGUGGUGAAACACUCUGCAUUAUAGAAUCGAGCUCCAUCGACGAAAAUUUG